rnacentral:rRNA from 1 species
AUUGGAGAGUUUGAUCCUGGCUCAGGAUGAACGCUGGCGGCGUGCUUAACACAUGCAAGUCGAACGGGAUCCAUCAGGCUUUGCUUGGUGGUGAGAGUGGCGAACGGGUGAGUAAUGCGUGACCGACCUGCCCCAUGCACCGGAAUAGCUCCUGGAAACGGGUGGUAAUGCCGGAUGCUCCAUCACAUCGCAUGGUGUGUUGGGAAAGCCUUUGCGGCAUGGGAUGGGGUCGCGUCCUAUCAGCUUGAUGGCGGGGUAACGGCCCACCAUGGCUUCGACGGGUAGCCGGCCUGAGAGGGCGACCGGCCACAUUGGGACUGAGAUACGGCCCAGACUCCUACGGGAGGCAGCAGUGGGGAAUAUUGCACAAUGGGCGCAAGCCUGAUGCAGCGACGCCGCGUGAGGGAUGGAGGCCUUCGGGUUGUAAACCUCUUUUGUUAGGGAGCAAGGCACUUUGUGUUGAGUGUACCUUUCGAAUAAGCACCGGCUAACUACGUGCCAGCAGCCGCGGUAA